rnacentral:lncRNA from 1 species
AAAGGGAAGGUGGAGAGAGAGAAGAAGGAGAAAAUGGAAGAGGGAGAGUAUGCAGAGGAGGAGGAAGAAGAAAAGCGGAGCAGAAGCACAAGGUGUGUGUGCACACGUGGGAAGCACAUUCCCCAAGCUGUCUCCCCAGCCAGCCUGGACUCCCCAGGAUGUCUGCUCCAAGUACGAAUGUGUAGAAUCACUGCUGUCUUCAUCUUGGGCUUGCUGCCCUGGUUCCCUACCACCUUCAAACAUCUCUCAAAGGAGGGAUCCCCAGGGAAAAGUGUGAGCAAGUGGAACCGAAAGCUGCCAAGGGACAGCUUUGAUCUGCAGUGAGGCAGGCUGCCCUUCAGUCUCAUCUCCAGUACACAGUCCUUCUCCGUGGACUUUCCCCUUUUGCAAAAUGGCCACAGUAUGCAUGCACGAGGAAGAUGGCACUCGCCGUCUCAACGCUCUGAGUCCUGCCCUCC